rnacentral:misc_RNA from 1 species
GACACCUCGAGCAUGCAUGAAUGGAUUCAGGGAAUCCACAGCUUCAAUCAAACUCUCAUUAAUGAUUUCAGAGUAUGAAUGUCCCUUCUUCCUCAAGACCUCAAUCUGAGCCAUCAUCAAUGCCACAAACACACCAGCAGUGAAUGGACACAAGGGACCCAAGUCACCCUUUGGCCGUGUUGCUCUAACACGCUCACCCACUUUCCACAUCCGUGUUUGAUCAAUCUUACCCAUUGGGAAAGC